rnacentral:lncRNA from 1 species
CGGAAAGUUUACACUAUUAUGCCUGAUCCCUGACUCAUAUGAAUUUUCCCCCACUCAUCACAAUACUUGUCAAGUUUCGAAGAAACUUGACACUAAAAACGAGUGCAUGUAAAAACUUAUUGAAUCUGGACAGUUGUUUGUCUAACAAUGUGUGCCGUAAUUGUGUCGACAAGAAUAGUAAUUUAUUAGACUUAUUAUAGAAAGUUGAUUCAGUUCGCGAGCGAUUUAAUAUUAGUAGUAGAAGUUAAUCUAAUUGAAAAGAAUCAGACAACUGUAACCGAGAAGCAGAGAGGCGGCGAUUGUGAUCAACGAGAAGACGUCGCCAGAGUUCAAAAUCCGGUAAAAAUACGCGUUGUUUUCUCAACAAAUGAUUUUGUAUUAAUAAUCAGUAAUCGAGAUCAAGAAACCCAAACUAAACCCGAAACUAGUGAGGAAAUUUUAGAAUCAUUAGAUGC